rnacentral:rRNA from 1 species
CCUACGGGAGGCAGCAGUGGGGAAUAUUGGACAAUGGGGGGAACCCUGAUCCAGCGACGCCGCGUGAGUGAAGAAGUAUUUCGGUAUGUAAAGCUCUAUCAGCAGGGAAGAAAGAAAUGACGGUACCUGACUACGAAGCCCCGGCUAACUACGUGCCAGCAGCCGCGGUAAUACGUAGGGGGCAAGCGGUAUCCGGAUUUACUGGGUGUAAAGGGAGCGUAGACGGCGAUGCAAGUCUGAAGUGAAAGGCGGGGGCCCAACCCCUGGACUGCUUUGGAAACUGUAUGGCUGGAGUGCAGGAGAGGUAAGUGGAAUUCCUAGUGUAGCGGUGAAAUGCGUAGAUAUUAGGCGGAACACCAGUGGCGAAGGCGGCUUACUGGACUGUAACUGACGUUGAGGCUCGAAAGCGUGGGGAGCAAACAGGAUUAGAUACCCGUGUAGUC